rnacentral:rRNA from 1 species
UACGUAGGGUGCAAGCGUUGUCCGGAAUUAUUGGGCGUAAAGAGCUUGUAGGCGGUUUGUCGCGUCUGCUGUGAAAUUUCGGGGCUCAACCCCGAACUUGCAGUGGGUACGGGCAGACUAGAGUGUGGUAGGGGAGACUGGAAUUCCUGGUGUAGCGGUGAAAUGCGCAGAUAUCAGGAGGAACACCGAUGGCGAAGGCAGGUCUCUGGGCCACUACUGACGCUGAGGCACGAAGGUCAGGGGAGCAAACGGG